rnacentral:tRNA from 1 species
GCAUUGGUGGUUCAGUGGUAGAAUUCUCACCCUCCACAUGGGAGACUUAGGUUCGAUUCCCGGCCAAUGUA